UCUAUCUCUUUUUCUCUUUAUUUUUUUCCCCUCAACACGCAAUAAUCUCCGCAUAUUAGCUUCGGCCGUGAUUUUUAAACUGCCUUUAUUCCCUUUCUCUUUCUUUUUCUCCUUUCAUCUAUUUUUCUCUCUUUCUCUCUUUCUCUAUCUAUUUCUCUCCCAGGGGUUGGCUCGAAAAACAGAAGGCUAGAAGCGCAUGAAAUAUAUGUGUAUUGCGUGCCGGUUACAUCAUUUGAUGCAGGUGUGCGUAAAUAUCAACCACCAUUGGGUAUGUAGGAGGGGUUUCGACCCCCCAUUUCUAUGGGGGGUCGAAACGCCUGCGCGGCCAAUAUCCAACCUAUAUAAGGAGGCAACGCAGUUCGAAGCGGUACUCACUUUUGGAAAUCCGUGUAGAAAGGACGCGUGGUAUCUUCACGGAAAUGGGCUUCACUGGAAGCUACCUCGUAAAACUUCUUCUUUAUAUCGCCAUAGUCAACGCGAUUUUUCUUCCAACGAUUGUAUGUCAAGAGGAAGAGAUCAACAAUCAAUGCAUACCGAAAAAGGACUUCAUCGCACUUCUGCGUCUUCCGGAAGCAAGUUCAAAUUUAGCAGCUUAUUCGCGAACGGCUCGGAUCAUUCAAGAUGCAAAGAAUCGUAACGACAUGGCUCAUUUGAAAGCACUCAGUAUCGAGGAAAACGACGACGCAGAGAUUUGUAUACCGGUUAGCCUCUACUUGGAACUCUUUAGGGAUCCAGCGAUGCGAGCUCAUUUGACGUCGAUUGGUAAAUCGUCCAAAUUACCGGAAUAUCCUUUCGGUCGUUCGUUCGAGGACGUCGAGGAAGACGAACGAUUAACCGAAACGGGAAAACGAAGUCUCGCGACUUUGGCCAAGAACGGCGACCUACCAGCUUCUAUUCAGGAACGUGAUAGGUACAGCUCUUGGACCGACGAGAGGUUGGAAGCGUUAUUGAAAGGUUUAAUAAAUGAAAACUCUGCACGAAAUAUUCCAGAGAUUCUUCGCCAGUAUACACUUAGCAAUGGAGAAUUGGAUAUAGAAUCUUUGAUACGUGAUUAUCCUCAUGGAAAAAGAAAUGUUGGCUCAUUGGCUCGAGACUUUGCUUUACCACCAACAGCUGGUAGAAGAAACAUUGCUUCUUUGGCACGCGAUCAUACAUUACCAAGUGGAAAAAGGAAUAUCGCUUCUCUCGCAAGGGAUCGAGCUUUGCCUAUGGCAGGGAAAAGGAAUAUUGCUGCCUUAGCUAGGACAUACAUGCUACCACAGGCAGGUAAAAGGGAAUACUUGCCCGAGGAAAUGUCACCGAUUGAGAGAAGAUUCCUGGAUUCUCUGGUUCGAUCAUCUGGAUUUCCUCUUCGUUCUUUGUACAAUGAAGAUAAGAGAAGCGUAGCCUCCUUGGCUAGAAAUUCAGCCUGGCCCGAUUCCAUGAAACGAGCUUAUGCUAUUCCACCCUACGGUAUGAUCCUUCGUACUAUGAACCGUCAAGGACGAUCCUUGAAGGACAAGCCCUUCGAACUUUACCAGCUGGCCCGCGAGAGACACGACGAUGGUGUCUCUAGCUCGUUCGGUGAUGAUCGAUUGGACUAUCUGAUGCGAGAUUCGGACGAUAGGAGGACGAAGAGGCAGAUAGAUUUCUCGAACGAGUAUCCUUUGCCCGUCAUGCAGAAUGCGAAUGUUCUUGAUUACGAGGAAAUGAUCGAGGCUCUUACUGGACAGUAUCCAAACACGGAGAAGAGAUUCAUGGAUUAUCCAUCGGAUCGAGAAGCAUCUUCGGCUAGUAUAUUCCACCCACGCUGCGAUGAUAGUUGAGUUGGGCGUGUUGGGCAUAGUCAUAACUCUGGUCGUACCAUUCGGCCGUUGUGCUUGCGGUAUUCGCGGUAUUCGAAGAAUGGGUACCAUGAGCUGCGUGCGCGGCAUGUUGAUGGCUUGUCACGUGACUCGACGAAUAUUCGCUACCUUGAAAAUGAUUAAACUGUCCCCAAGAACCUGGAUUUGAUGAAACAUUUGUCAAGGUACCAGCAUUAGGAGUCAAAGAUGUGGGAGCAGCAUGAGCAACUGGAGGUUGAAUGGAUGGCACUUGACUGAUUUGCAUGCUAUUCAUAUGUCCAGAGAGGGAAGUCAGGUGUUCCGAAAUAGAGACAGCAUGUCCUUGUAAAGUGUUCGUCGUAGGGAUUGGAGCCAUCGAUGUGGUCAUCUGGGAAACACUUCCAACAACUUGGUGUACGGUAUUCGGUGUUUGGUGCAGAGCCGUCGGACUAUGAUGCAAACUCGUUGGUACUUGAGGUAUUUCGCUUGACAUUUGAGGUAUUUGAGCGAUUUGAGCUAAUUCGUGACUCGCUGCAGCGUAUUGACAGGGCGUUAGGGGUAAACUUGGUACAGAAUGUGCUAUGCUUCCUGCGUGUUUACGAAGACGAGCUCUUCGAUUGCUGAACCAGACCUAGAAGAUGGACGUUGAGGCGGGUGACGCUUUUUGAAGAUGAUGAUAAGUAUAAAUAAUCUUCUGCUGAUUUUUCUUACUUAAUUGUGUUUCAAUCUUUUUGUUUACAAAUAUUAUUGAGAACAAUUUCAAAGAAAAAUAAAUAACUCACUUGAAUCCUAGCUUCUGUUAGACCAGUUCUCUGAGCCAAUUCUUCUCUAGCAUAAACAUCUGGAUACUGAGCACGUUGAAAAGCAGCCUCGAGUUGCUCAAGUUGUUCUCCAGUGAACGUUGUUCUACUUCUACGUUGUUUUCGUUUCAGAGGUAUGCCUGGUUCACUUUCUGUAUCAGAAUCAUCACCGCAACGACCUAAUCAUAAAAAGAGAUAGGUGUCAUUGUGUUUGUUACGUUGUAAUUUCCCAAUAUUAUUAUAAUGAUUCUCUCUUAAAUACUUUUUUUAUCAACGAAGCGUAUAGGGUCGAAAACAGAAUCGGGAAAGCGAUCGGAAUAAAUGACAAGCUUCUACGAUUAAAUGACUAUAAUUGGUAAUCGAUAAAUCCUCGACGAAAACUGCAACGUCAUGAGACACGAGUUCUCGUUGCUCCGAUGAACUUGCCUCUUUUCCUAUGAAUACGAUAUUGAUGAGCAUUCUUCUGUGUCCACAUCUUAUACACACGUAGCUAUUCUAUAUGCGAAGACCGUAAUCAGAUGACGAAGUCAUCGGGUCAUUUAUGAUGUAAUUGUCUCCGGUGAUAUAUAGUAUCUGAGAAAUUACGUUUAUGGAAGAAGUUUAAAACGCGUAUAAUUAAUAUAAAAUUUUUUGAUUGAGUAUAGUUCGUUAAAACUCAUGUAAUUACUAAUUAAUACUUAGAGAAGUUUUCCAUAUUCGUGGACGUCUAACUUCUUUGAUUUCUCCUUUUGAUUUCUUCAUGCUGUAUUAGAUGAAAAGUUUAUUUUAUCACGUCACUAGUCAGUGCAAUGAGCACUCACG